GAGUUUGAUCAUGGCUCAGGACGAACGCUGGCGGCGUGCCUAACACAUGCAAGUCGAACGGAAACAGCAUGAAGCUUGCUUUGAGCUGUUUUAGUGGCGGACGGGUGAGUAACGCGUGAGUAACCUGCCUUUCAGAGGGGGAUAACGUCUGGAAACGGACGCUAAUACCGCAUGACAUAUUUUGGUCGCAUGGCCGGGAUAUCAAAGGAGCAAUCCGCUGAAAGAUGGACUCGCGUCCGAUUAGCUAGUUGGUGAGAUAAAGGCCCACCAAGGCGACGAUCGGUAGCCGGACUGAGAGGUUGAACGGCCACAUUGGGACUGAGACACGGCCCAGACUCCUACGGGAGGCAGCAGUGGGGGAUAUUGCACAAUGGAGGAAACUCUGAUGCAGCAACGCCGCGUGAGGGAAGACGGUUUUCGGAUUGGUAAACCUCUGUCCUUGGUGACGAAAAAAAUGACGGUAGCCAAGGAGGAAGCUCCGGCUAACUACGUGCCAGCAGCCGCAGUAAC
rnacentral:rRNA from 1 species